AUCAACAUGUAUCAUAAUUAUUCCUUGACAAUUGUGGCAAUCAUGUCGUGUAUUGUGGUUAUACAUAAUAGCCUGUAUAUGCACAUGAGAGAAAUGCUUAUACGAAGAUUCGUUUUCCAUGUGCAAUACCUAUUGUGCCUAAGAAAUGUACUCUUACUUAUACGACACUAGUACUUCAAAUUACUCCCUGUACAGUAGCUUGGAUACUAUGUUUUUGACAAAUGUACUAUUUGUUUUUUUUUACGAAUAAAGCCUUGAAAAAAAAAAGAAUCCCGGACAGUGUGACCCCAGCAGUGCUGAGCCCUGUUGUUCCCCACAGGGAUUGUGUAGAGCUAGCGCCAACCACUGCACCUGCUCAGGCUGUACUGACUACCGAUGGCUGGACAUGGAUACGGUAAGGGUUGUUGGGCAAUCAGGACAUCCGUAUGAGCACGGAGGAGUGAUAUAUGAUCCACAAAAAACCUUGGAUGGGGACGUAGGAACCUGGUGGAACCCUCAAGUCCCCAAUCGAUGGUAUAACAACUGGUACAUCGCUUACGACCUCGGAGCGCCCUUCACACUGAUCAAAGUCACCAUGAAUAACUUUGGAGACUUCAACCAUGACGUUAAAAAAUUCCGAUUGCAAAAGUCAGAGAAGAAGAUGCCAUGGAGCUGGUCGGUUGUCACGUACGUUACUAACGUGAGAGCCAGCACGAAUGCUCGACAGGAAUUCGGCGGUUUCAGAGCAACAGCGCAGUAUUGGCUAUUCAUAGUCAAGGAGACUCAGUCUGGCUGGCAGCCGUGGUUAAAAGAAGUGCAAUUCCAUGGAUUCACAACUGCGUGGUCAUCUUUAACAACGAUGACCAAAUCAACCCCUUCAACAUCCACAUCGGGGAUUCCGAGGACGUAAGCGCGAACCCCAAGUGCGGUGGUGACCAUCCUUAUGUCAGGAGUUCGAAUCCACGUGAGGAAUCAAUAUCCAUGAACGUUCCUUGUGCUGGAAUGCGAGGACAUUAUGUGGGCAUCCGUGCACCCGGAUCUUCCCGAGUUCUCUCCUUGUGCGAGGUCCGAGUGUUUUCUGAUGAAAUCUGAUGGGAUGACCCUAACGGACACUGCAGUCGUGGAGAAUGCAGUGAAUGAAUGACUGCAGAAAACUCAGCGUCAUCAAGAAACAAUUACGAAAAUUUGCUUUCAACUUUCAGCAAAGUUUUUGGCAAGCCGUUACACGAAUAAAAUACAAAAUAACUUCAUAUUUCACGUUUUGUGUUAUAUACAUGUCUCUCUAAGCAAAGCCGAGAGAGACAGGUAUAGAAUACAAAACAUUAAAAGUUAAUUCCGAAAAUAGUUUCAUCAGGUUGGUAGAAUAUAAGAGAAUUCUUGUACGCAACCAGGUUAAACUUAAUUGCUUAAGUUAUGGUUUAAAAAGAGUCAACCCAGUGAUGAACUGGGACCAGGGAGGGUACAAACUUGGCCACGUUUAGGAUAGUGUUCUCGCCACAAAGGCGCCUACUUCGGCUACAUAUAGCAGGGAGAAGCAGAACUCCAGUCAGGAGCUCUGAGGAAGGUGUCUGAUAGACACCGAAACGUAAGCACUUAGUAAGUUUAAUCUUGUUGUGUACAAGAACUUUCCCAUAUCAAUUAAAAGUUUUAAGUUUUGAUUAUUGAAAACAAUCGUUACAAAUGUGAAGCUUUACAGUGUUCCUAUUGGCUCAUUAGAGUGUUGCCAGUGAAACAAAUCCUAAAUGCAUAUUGUGCUACAGUUCAACCGCAGUAUAUAAAACAUAUGCUAGCCCUUAUUGUUAUGG